GUAGGGUGCGAGCGUUAAUCGGAAUGACUGGGCGUAAAGGGUGCGUAGGCGGUGUGUUAAGACGGAUGUGAAAUCCCCGGGCUUAACCUGGGAAUGGCAUACGUGACUGGCAGACUAGAGUAUGGCAGAGGGAGGAGGAAUUCCGCAUGUAGCAGUGAAAUGCGUAGAGAUGUGGAGGAACACCGAUGGCGAAGGCAUCUUCCUGGGCCAAUACUGACGCUGAAGCACGAAAGCGUGGGGAGCAAACAGGAUUAGAUACCCUGGUAGUCCACGCCCUAAACGAUGUCAACUAGUUGUUGGGGAUUCAUUUCCUUAGUAACGAAGCUCACGCAUGAAGUUGACCGCCUGGGGAGUACGAUCGCAAGAUUA
rnacentral:rRNA from 1 species